ACGUAGGGUGCGAGCGUUAAUCGGAAUUACUGGGCGUAAAGCGUGCGCAGGCGGUUUUGCAAGACAGAGGUGAAAUCCCCGGGCUUAACCUGGGAAUUGCAUUGGUGACUGCACGGCUAGAGUGUGGCAGAGGGGGAUAGAAUUCCACGUGUAGCAGUGAAAUGCGUAGAGAUGUGGAGGAAUACCGAUGGCGAAGGCAGCCCCCUGGGAUAACACUGACGCUCAUGCACGAAAGCGUUGUGAGCAAACAG
rnacentral:rRNA from 1 species